AUUGAACGCUGGCGGAAUGCUUUACACAUGCAAGUCGAACGGAAGCACGGAUUUCGGGCUGGUGGCGAGUGGAGAACGGGUGAGAAACAUAUCGGAACGUAUCCAAUAAUGGGGGAUAACGAGUCGAAAGAUUCGCUAAUACCGCAUACGCCCUACGGGGGAAAGCUGGGGAUGGUCGGGCCUGGCGUUAAUGGAGCGGCCGAUAUCUGAUUAGCUCGUUGGUGAGGUAAAGGCCUACCAAGGCGACGAGCAGUAGCUGGUCUGAGAGGAUGACCAGCCACACUGGAACUGAGACACGGUCCAGAGUCCUACGGGAGGCAGCAGUGGGGAAUUUUGGACAAUGGGCGCAAGCCUGAUCCAGCCAUUCCGCGUGAGUGAAGAAGGCAUUCGGGUUGUAAAGCUCUUUCGCAAGGGAAGAAAACUUAGCCACUCGCAUUUGUUGAGGUUGACGGUACCUUGACAAGAAGCACCGGCUAACUACGUGCCAGCAGCCGCGGUAA
rnacentral:rRNA from 1 species